CGAAUUCACAAAGGUCGACUAAAGUUAUACCCGGGGUAUAAAACGCGUCAUUUGACGUCAUUUUAAUCCAUGGACUAAAGUUAGCACCUAGGGGCUAACUUUUGCGAUUCACAAAGGUGGACUAAAGUUAUACCGGGGUAUAAAACGCGUCAUUUGACGUCACGAUUUAGUCAGCUCUUUGGGGUGGACUAAAUCGGUGGAUUAAAGUUAGUCCACCGUUUUAACCAAUCAGAGAGCAGCGUUGCGAUUGCGGAAAAGUUUGCCGUAAGAAAAAAGUUUUUUGGACGGAGACGAGAUUUGGUGUGAUCGGCUUAUCUAAAGCUUAAAAUUUCACGACUUCGACCGAGAUUCAACAGACCAUACAUACUCGGCAGAUUGUGAUCAAUCAAGACAAGGCAAACAUGGCUCACAAUUUUGAACUGCUGUGCCGUCUUGCAAGAGAGUGAGAUUCAGCAACACAUAGAAAGACCACAGCAUGGAUUAAGAGACAGGAAGAAUCCAUUUGAAUACUACGAGGAUGAACCUCUCAGAGUGGGGUACCAACAGAGAGGACCACACAUUGCCUGUCAUGUUACAGGUUUUGACAGGACUUUGUUUUUAUGCCAUUGGUACCUUUUAGAAGAUGCAAGCAGACGAAGCAACUAUAUCACAGUCAUCCGUGUGCAGAAUCAUCAAAGAUUUUUCUGAGGCAAUAGCAAGGAGUAAUAGUUAAUGAAGUUUCCAAUGACAAGAAAUUCAAACCACCCAUCGACAAUUUGAUGAUUGCUACAGGUUUCCAAGAGUCAUAGAUGCUAUCGAUUGGGGCCAAUCCGGGCCAUGUCUACAUCAGGAGUCCUGAUUGGGAACAAGCCCUGUACUUAGCAGGAAGAACAGGUCUUCUGUAAAUGUAUAGGUAUCCGUUGCUCCCCUCUUUGAUGAAUUCUUGCCUGCAUUCUGUUGUCAAUAGAAAAGGACGGUGUGCUACGGGUAUUAAGCAUUCCAUUGGAUUAUCUGUGCAUGAAAGUGGACACUUGUGAUAAAAAUAUGGUAGCUUGGUUGAUAGGAUGUGUUCAUGCAUUCCGAUUUAUCAUUAGUGAUCAAAUGACCAUUUUGCUUUUUAAAACCCAAAUUCACAACAUUUUUCUUGUUUGACAAAAAGUUUGGGACGUGAAUUCCAGGAUAUAAAUGACACACAUGAUGGGCUAAUGUACAAGCAGGGACACGAGAGGUAUAAGCAACAUUUUUUUUGCUUAAUUAAGUUUGGCAUGAGAUGGACUUGGUCUUUUUUAUGAUUCAAGUCGAUUUUAUACCAAGUUUGUUUUAAUCAACAAUCAAUGUUUGAAGCCUCAUGAUUUCAAUUUUAAAACCUCUUUGUUAAUUAAACAGUCAUUUUUCUUAGCAUAUGCAGAUUCUUAAUUUAUCAAAUUUAAAUUAUAAAAUGUCAUUUUUGCUGAAUAUCCUUUUUUCCACCUAUUUUCAUAGACCCUAAGAUACAUUUCUGUAGUAAGCACUAUAAAUACAUUGCAAGCUAUUAUCAUUUGUUUGAUAUUACUAUUUUAUAGAAUCAUCCUUUAAUUUCUUUCAGAAAUAUAUUUGACAAAUUACUUGUGAUAUUCAUGCUUUAGCUGUAGAGUUUAAAAUCUUCAUUAAACUUUUUUUAAUCCAUUGUUUAUCUAUUUUUAUUCAGAGUUUCUGAUGCAUUGUUAAGAAAACGUAAACAGUCUAUUCAAUCUUCGUAUCAUUAUGUAAAGAAUAUAAAUCUACCUUAAAAAGUAAUGCACUAAAUAAACUGCUCUGUCUACUACACAUGUACAUAUAAGUUUUGAUUUUAAAGGUCAAGUCCUCCCCAGAAAAAAUUCGAUUUGAAUUAAUAGAAAAAAAUCAACCGAGCAUAAUGCUGAAAAUUUCAUCAAAAUCGGUUGUAAAAUAGGAACGUUAUGACAUUUUUAGAUUUGGCUUAUUUUUCACAACACAGUUAUAUGCACAGAUCAGUGACAUGCAAAUGAGACAGUCAAUGACGUCCUUCACUAUUUCUUUUGUUUUUGUUGCUUGAAUUGUACAAUAUUUCAUUUUUUACAGAUUUGACAUUGAGGGCCAACUUGAUUGAACCAAAAUUAUAGUAUUAAAAUAAUGCAAAUCCCACAUGUUCGGGGGGGGGGGGGGGGGGGGACUAAUCUUGGUUUCACUUGACAAUGAAGAGAAAAUUUGAAUAUUUCAUCUAGUAGAAUAAAAAGAAAUAGUUUGCAUGCCGACUGGGAUGUACAUAUAAGUGUGUGGUCAAGCAAAACUUUAAAAAUGUCAUAAUUUAAUAUCUUUACAUCAGAUUUUGAUGAAAUUUUCAGUGUUACGCUUGUUGGGUUUUUCUCUUUUUAUUCAAAUCAACUUUGUGGGGGUGGACUUGUCCUUUUAUAUCGUUUUCAAGUAAUUGUGUCAGGAGAAAACAAAAAUGAAAUUCUUUUAUCAAUUCUGUCCAUAUGCUGCAUGGUUCAUCGUUCUUGCAGGAGGCAAAAAAUAAAUUUAUAUAAGAAAGA